rnacentral:lncRNA from 1 species
GCCUCUUGGAGCACAGUCAUGGGCAGAGCUCUCCCGGCUCCACCUCUGCCUCCCAUCAGGGGUGAAUAAGGCGGAAGCUGAGGGGACAGUCAUAGCCAGGACAGGAAUGUCACCCCCAGCUGGCAGACAGCACUCUGAGCAGCCAGGCCUGGGAUCCUCUGACCUGCCCACUACUUCAGGAGGCCAGUGUGCUCACUGCCACCCCACGGUCUGGGGACCCUGGACUCCAAACUUGCAGAAUGAAUCUUUGGUGAUGAAAGUGAGAAUCUGGGAGAGAUGUGAAAACUGGAAGAGAAACAGGAAGUACCUCCAGGAUUCGCCUAAAUAGAUGCUGCGGUUUCCAUCAAACCACAGGCCACCCCAGUAUCUCAGUGGCUUCUAUAGGUUGUCCUGAAAGAGCCAUGAGGCCAGACACCAAUUCCACCCUCCACCUUUCUGUGUCCGUCCCAGACCAAGGCAGCCCAGGACUGGUAUCCUUCUAAGAAGAGGAAGGCACAUCAGAGGAGAGGCCAUGUGAGGACACCAUGGGAAGGCAGCCACCUGCAAGCCAAGGAGAGGGGCCUCGGGAGAAACCAGCCCUGCUGACACCCUGAGCUCCUUGCAAUUCCAGCCUCCUAGACUCCACCAAAUUCCCGCCUUAGCUGCAGGACGGACCCCAACCAAGAGCAGCCGCUAAGAUGGCCGGGGAGUGAGAAAAGCCUCAUUUCUUUAAUAAAGGUGAUUGCCCAUUUUCAGACACAGGAUAGGGGAUUAUUGAGGGUGCCACCAAGGAGAAGGGGGUCACCACCUGAGAAGGGGCCAUGGGGGGCUGCCAUGGCAGGUGGCAGAGGGCAGAGCAAAGAAGGGGCAGACAUCGCCCCUAUCAGUUUGCUUGGGCUGCACUAACAAAGUAUGACAGAUCGGGGCUUGAACAAUGGAAACUUACUGUCUCACAGUUCUGGAGACCAGAAGUUCAAGAUCAAGGUGUGCAUAGGGCUUGUCCCCUCUGAAACCUGUAGGGCAAAUUCCUCCUUGCCUCAUCCUCGCCUCUGUGGGUUGCUGGCAAUCCUCAUCAUCCCCGGGCUUCCAGCUGCAUCCCCCUAAUCUCCGUUUCUGUUGCUGUUAUGCGGCAUUCUUCCUGUGCCUCUAUCGUCACCUGGCUGUCUUCCUGUAAGGACAGCAGUCAUCAUGGAUUAGGGGCCCACUGUCAUCUGGUAGGACCUCAUCUUAACUAUUUACAUCUGCAACACCCUGUUUCCAAAUAAGGCCACUGCCUGAGAUACUGGGGUUUGGGACCUCAACGUAUUUUUCUGGGGAGACACAAAGUUCAAUCUGUAAUGCCACCUUUGUCAAAAUUGUUUCUGGAAUAUUAAUUAGGCUCAUUCACUCCACCUGAGGGUUUUUGUUUUGUUUUGUUUUUUGUUUUUUGUUUUUUGAGACAGAGUCUCACUCUGCUGCCCAGGCUGGAGUGCAAUGGUGUGAUCUGGGCUAACGGUAACCUCUGCUUCCCAGGUUCAAGUGAUU